rnacentral:sRNA from 1 species
GCCGGGCACAGUGGUGCAUGCCUGUAAUCCCAGCAGCUCAGGAGGCCGAGGUAGGAGGAUCAAGAGUUCAAAGCCAGCCUCAGCAAUUUAGCAAGGCCCUAAGCAACUCAGUGAGACCCUGUCUCUA